UUAGGUGCUCAACAUCUGCCUUGCAGCGCGAACUGGCGGACUUGAGUGCACGCAACGUAUGCGGAAUUCAUGGUGUAGCGGUGAAAUGCUUAGAUAUCAUGACGAACUCCGAUUGCGAAGGCAGCGUACGGGAGUGUUACUGACGCUUAAGCUCGAAGGUGCGGGUAUCGAACAGGAUUAGAUACCCUGGUAGUCCGCACGGUAAACGAUGGAUGCCCGCUGUUAGCGCCUGGCGUUAGCGGCUAAGCGAAAGCAUUAAGCAUCCCACCUGGGGAGUACGCCGGCAACGGUGAAACUCAAAGGAAUUGACGGGGGCCCGCACAAGCGGAGGAACAUGUGGUUUAAUUCGAUGAUACGCGAGGAACCUUACCCGGGCUUGAAUUGCAGACGCAGGAUACAGAGAUGUUGACUCCCUUCGGGGCGUCUGUGAAGGUGCUGCAUGGUUGUCGUCAGCUCGUGCCGUGAGGUGUCGGCUUAAGUGCCAUAACGAGCGCAACCCCUUUCCUUAGUUGCCAUCAGGUUAUGCUGGGCACUCUGGGGAUACUGCCACCGCAAGGUGUGAGGAAGGUGGGGAUGACGUCAAAUCAGCACGGCCCUUACGUCCGGGGCUACACACGUGUUACAAUGGCCGGUACAGAGGGACGGUGCGAUGCAAAUCGCAUCCAAUCUUGAAAGCCGGUCCCAGUUCGGACUGAGGUCUGCAACCCGACCUCACGAAGCUGGAUUCGCUAGUAAUCGCGCAUCAGCCAUGGCGCGGUGAAUACGUUCCCGGGCCUUGUACACACCGCCCGUCAAGCCAUGAAAGCCGGGGGUGCCUGAAGUUCGUAACCGCGAGGAGCGACCUAGGGCAAAACUGGUGAUUGGGGCUAAGUCGUAACAAGGUAACC
rnacentral:rRNA from 1 species